rnacentral:snRNA from 2 species
GUACUCACUUCGGCAGCAUGUAUACUAAAACUGAAACAAUAUAGAGAAGAUUAGCAUGACCUCUAUGCAAGGAUGACGCACUAAA